rnacentral:lncRNA from 1 species
CUGAAGGCAGAGAUCAAGGUGAUGCCUCUACAGGUCAAAGAAUGUUAAAGAUUGCCAGCAAACCACCAGAAACUAAGGGAAAAUUGUGGAGCAGAUUCUCUCUCAUAGCCCUCAGAAGGAACCAACCCUGGUGACACUUUAGACUUCUAGCUUUUAGAACUAAGCAGCAACAGGAGAACAUCUGGAGAGAGAAGGAGAUUCUCUCUUAGAAGGGAAAUCAAAGAGGAAACAAACAAAUGGAAGAACAUUCCAUGCUCAUGGAUAGGAAGAAUCAAUAUUGUGAAAAUG